rnacentral:tRNA from 1 species
GGGGGUAUAGCUCAGUGGUUAGAGCAGCGGGCUCAUAACCUGUUGGUCCCCGGUUCAAGUCCAGGUACCCCCACCA